UAGGGAAUCUUCCGCAAUGGGCGCAAGCCUGACGGAGCAACGCCGCGUGAGCGAGGACGGCCUUCGGGUUGUAAAGCUCUGUUCUUCGGGAAGAAGGGCGGGAGGGCGAACAACUCUUCCGCUUGACGGUACCGAAGGAGAAAGCCCCGGCUAACUACGUGCCAGCAGCCGCGGUAAUACGUAGGGGGCGAGCGUUGUCCGGAAUUAUUGGGCGUAAAGCGCGCGUAGGCGGCUGGUUAAGUCCUGUGUGAAAGACCACGGCUCAACCGUGGGGGUGCACGGGAAACUGGCCGGCUUGAGUGCAGGAGAGGGGAGCGGAAUUCCCGGUGUAGCGGUGGAAUGCGUAGAGAUCGGGAGGAACACCAGUGGCGAAGGCGGCUCCCUGGCCUGUAACUGACGCUGAGGCGCGAAAGCGUGGGGAGCGAACA
rnacentral:rRNA from 1 species